CCUGCACGCCCAGCAUCUCUGAACAAACAUGCAUGCCUUGGUCAAUCGUGGCUCUGAUAACUCCUCCAGGCUCCUUUCUAAUUCUGUAACAGAGAAGCUCGCAUUGGCAUGGCAUUUGCUGCAGCCAGCUGUGUCCUACUUGGAAAACGGCACUUUGCUUCUGCUUCCAGCUUCCCAGUCUGUCCCAGCUUCAGAAGAAUCCUGUGGAAAAAAGUUGAAUAUCAGUGCUCCAUCUUAAGUGUGCCUGAAUACAGGAUGCCUCACAUUUCUAAUGGAAAAAGGUAAGGAUGAGGUUCUUUUCUCUGGAAGCAUAAGGAGCUGUUGGAAUUUAAAGCAGUACUUCUUUCUACAGGCUGACAACACAGCUACCAGGUGCUUUCAAGCUGUGGAUGUUGAUAUCUGAGUCUUCCUGCUGUCUUUGAUGAGCAUGUUCUGCAGCUGAAGGCUGGCUGCUGAGGCAGGGAACCAGGCUUUGACUCGUGGAUCUUGACAGCUCCAUUGUCCCCAGGAAUGAACCUGUCACGGGAAACCGUUGCCCUUUAGGCUUAGCCCACAGGUAACUUCGAUAGGUCUUACAGAGGAUUUUGACACAGAGGACAAAAUCUUCAACUUCUGUUGAAGGAUGUGCCUAUAAAGCAUCAAAGAACAGACUGCAAAAUGUGAUAAUGCACUAAAGAGGACAUUCAGCUAAAUGUUUGCACAAUGAUUGAGAAAAAUCAAACAAUAAUUCAGUGAUUUCAGUGCAACAAAAUCAAAUAUGAUGCUCAUCACUUUCAGUACUGGCGUAUGAGUGCCCUGCAGGAUCCCAACACAGUUUGGCUUCUGAUCAUCCAAAGAAUACCACACUAUCCCCACGUGUAACCACCCCUUGUGCUUCUUGGGGUGGUAGCAGCCUUAGCUUAUGUAUCUACUCUAGUUCCAGACAGACUGCUCCUGGAGCUCUGACUUGUCCCUCUUCAUGUUUACCCAGAACAGGGCUGAGAUAACAAACACUCCUUUAGUGGCACUUGACACUUCCUCGUGCCACCCUUUAGCACCCUUCAACUUCCAUUCUUAACUCCCUAGAGACUGUUUCUGUCAUUUUAAUCUCUCAUUUUCUUGAUCCUUGACAAGCAGAGAUAGCAUUGCUCAUUUUUGCCCUCUCCCUACUCCCUUACAAGCUUGUGACAUUA